UACGGAGGGUGCAAGCGUUAUCCGGAUUCACUGGGUUUAAAGGGUGUGUAGGCGGGUAUUUAAGUCAGUGGUGAAAUCUCCAGGCUCAACCUGGAAACUGCCAUUGAUACUAUUUAUCUUGAAUAUUGUUGAGGUAGGCGGAAUAUAUCAUGUAGCGGUGAAAUGCUUAGAUAUGAUAUAGAACACCGAUUGCGAAGGCAGCUUACUAAACAAUCAUUGACGCUGAGGCACGAAAGCGUGGGGAUCAAACAGG
rnacentral:rRNA from 1 species